rnacentral:tRNA from 1 species
GGGAGUGUAGCCCAGUUGGUAGAGUGCUUGCCUAGCAUGCACCAGGCCUUGGGUUCUAUCCCCAACAUUCCAU